rnacentral:rRNA from 1 species
AUUGAACGCUGGCGGCAGGCCUAACACAUGCAAGUCGAGCGAGCGGCGGACGGGUGAGUAAUGUAUGGGGACUGCCCGAUGGAGGGGGAUAACUACUGGAAACGGUGGCUAAUACCGCAUACUAUCGGAUAACCCAAAUGGGAUUAGCUAGUAGGUGGGGUAAAGGCUCACCUAGGCGACGAUCUUUAGCUGGGUUGAGAGGAUGAUUAGCCACACUGGGACUAAAAAACGCCCCAGCCCCCAAGGGAGGCAGCAGUGGGGAAUAUUUCACAAUCGACGCAAGCCUGAUGAAGCCAUGCCGCGUGGAUGAAGAAGUCCUUUGGGUUGUAAAGUACUUUCAGCGGGGAGACGUUACCCGCCGAAGAAGCACCGGCUAACUCCGUGCCAGCAGCCGCGGUAAUAC